rnacentral:rRNA from 1 species
UGGGGAAUAUUGCGCAAUGGGCGAAAGCCUGACGCAGCGACGCCGCGUGUGGGAUGACGGCCUUCGGGUUGUAAACCACUGUCGGGAGGGACGAAGAUCUGACGGUACCUCCAAAGGAAGCACCGGCUAACUCUGUG